CAGUAGCCGCGGUAAUACGGAGGGGGCCAGCGUUGCUCGGAAUGACUGGGCGUAAAGGGCGCGUAGGCGGCGAUCAAAGUCAGGCGUGAAAUUCCUGGGCUCAACCUGGGGACUGCAUUUGAGACGUGUUGGCUUGAGUGGAGAAGAGGGUCGUGGAAUUUCCAGUGUAGAGGUGAAAUUCGUAGAUAUUGGAAAGAACACCGGUGGCGAAGGCGGCGACCUGGUCUUUAACUGACGCUGAGGCGCGAAAGCGUGGGGAGCAAACAGGAUUAGAUACCCGCGUAGUCCCUGUCUCUUAUAC
rnacentral:rRNA from 1 species